rnacentral:rRNA from 1 species
ACAAUGGAGAGUUUGAUCCUGGCUCAGGAUGAACGCUAGCGGCAGGCCUAAUACAUGCAAGUCGAACGGGAUUCG